GCCAGUGUGGCCUAGUGGGUUGAGCUCUGGACUAUGACUCUGGAGACCAGGGUUCAAUUCCCCACUCAGCCA